CCUACGGGAGGCAGCAGUGAGGAAUAUUGGUCAAUGGACGAGAGUCUGAACCAGCCAAGUAGCGUGAAGGAUGACUGCCCUAUGGGUUGUAAACUUCUUCUAUAAAGGAAUAAAACGAGGCACGUGUGCCUUUUUGCAUGUACUUUAUGAAUAAGGAUCGGCUAAAUCCGUGCCAGCAGCCGCGGUAAUACGGAGGAUCCGAGCGUUAUCCGGAUUUAUUGGGUUUAAAGGGAGCGUAGAUGGGUUGUUAAGUCAGUUGUGAAAGUUUGCGGCUCAACCGUAAAAUUGCAAUUGAUACUGGCAGUCUUGAGUACAGUUGAGGUAGGCGGAAUGCGUGGUGUAGCGGUGAAAUGCUUAGAUAUCACGAAGAACCCCGAUGGCGAAGGCAGCUUACUAAACUGUGACUGACAUUGAGGCUCGAAAGUGUGGGUAGCAAACAGGAUUAGAUACCCCUGUAGUC
rnacentral:rRNA from 1 species